CAUUGAACUCUGUUCCUUGACUCUUAGGUCUGCAAAACAGCUUCAGAGCCUCACAAUGUGCUGGGCAAACGCUGCCUACAAGUGCAUGUUUCUCAUCAACGACGGCGUGGAGCCUCUUGGCACAGCCAGAAGCCCAAGUUAGCGCACGUAUGGUAUACGUGCCUUAUUGAACACACGGUGAAGAAGGAGCUAACACUAACCAUGAGCAUCUAUCUG